rnacentral:rRNA from 1 species
AUGAACGCUGGCGGCGUGCCUAAUACAUUCAAGUCGCGCGAACGGACGAGAAUCUUGCUUCUCUGAUGUUAGCGGCGGACGGGUGAGUAACACGUGGAUAACCUACCUAUAAGACUGGGAUAACUUCGGGAAACCGUAGCUAAUACCGGAUAAUAUUUUGAACCGCAUGGUUCAAAAGUGAAAGACGGUCUUGCUGUCACUUAUAGAUGGAUCCGCGCUGCAUUAGCUAGUUGGUAAGGUAACGGCUUACCAAGGCAACGAUGCAUAGCCGACCUGAGAGGGUGAACGGCCACACGGGAAGUGAGACACGGUAGCGACACCUACGGGAGGCAGCAGAAGGGAAUCUUCCGCAAUGGGGGAAAGGAUGACGGAGGAAAGCGGAGUGAGUGAUGAAGGACUUCGGAUCGUAAAACUAUGUUAUUAGGGAAGAAGAUAAGUGUAAGUAACUGUGAACAUAAUGACGGUACCUAAAAAGAAAGCCACGGCUAACUACGUG